UCUUGCCAAGAGGUUUUCCCUGGCAAGUCCCUCGAUGCUCCUUCCCUCCAAGCCGUUGCCUCCCAUCCAGAGGAGCUCUCCUUCUGCCACGCCAAGCAAGAUGUGCAGCAGAGAGCAGGAGACUGGGAAUGCUGGCAACGGCUGGGAUGAGGAGAGUAGAAAAAGCCAGGAGCUCAGAGCAGAGGGAAAAGGAAGAGAGACCUCCUUGCUGUGCUCCACUGGCGGGGAAAUGAAGAAGAGACAAUUGGGAAAAUCUUUAAUCCCCCGUCUACGCAAGGCAGGAAUUCCCCCUGUGGGCAGUGCUGCUGGGUCUGUGCACAGCUCUCCAAAGAUGGAAUUGCAGGAGUCCCAGGAGAUGAGCGCAAGACCCAGCAGCAGAAGCCAAGAGAAGACCCCAGAGUAUGCAGGCCUCUCACUGAGUCAGGCCAAGGAGACAGAUCAUCCCAGCAGUCCUGGUCUUAGGAGUGACAAGGAGCGGAGGGACAUCUUUGGAAAGACCCGCGCUGAAUUGUGCAGGUUGGCUAAAGAGAACUUAGAGCAGAAGAAAAUGGAGAUUUUGAUGGAAGAGAUGAAGAGGAGACAAAAUGAGAAAUCAUUGCAGCUUCCUCCAGAGACAUUUGAGCCUGGAGAUGCAGCUGAAGCAAGCUCCUCUUUGGUGCCUGCAGGCUUCAGCCUACCACCUAUCAAUGGCACAGCUCCCAGUGUACAGAGAAAAGACCCUGGUAGCGCCAUGAAGAAAACGGUCGUGAGAAAGCAGGACACGGUGCCCUUACAGCCCAGUACGCCCACCCUCCAUGGAGAUGGCAGCUUCCCACGCAGCUCCUCGGGGAACGGAAGAAGAAGGGACUCUUGAACAUCACACUGCUGGCUGAGUCCCAUUCAGAAGUCCUGCUCUGUCGGCUUCGUGAGAUUUGCUUGGCAGUUACCAGAGAGGUGACCAACCUCCGGUCCAAUGUGUCCUGCUCUGCAGUUGUCACUCUGGGAGAGCUCUUUGCGAUCUUGGGGAAGGACAUGGACUCCGAGGUGGAUCAGAUUGCUACAGUCCUUCUCCACAUGUUGCGGAACUCCCCAGAGUUUAUUCAGAAGGCAGCCUGUCAGAGCCUGGGCAUGAUGGUAGAGAACGUGAUUCCUACACGAGCAAUGACUGCUCUCAUGGACAAUGGAGUCAAGUAGGUUCUUCUUCUUUCUGUGAUAUUCUUGACCUUCUAGUGUGUGGGUGAGGGAAGGGAUGACAGAGAGAACAGGAAUGGUGGAAGGGAAGGGCCCUGUAUCCUGCAUCUCCUGUGGACUCAGUGACUUGAUUCUCUGAUCAACCUCAUUUCUCCUUUCUGAGAAAUAAGGAGGGUACUUGCUGGGGCAUGGAGCACAUCAGGGAGAAUGUGCUGGGUGUGGCACAGCCUGCACAGCAGAUGCAGCUCCUGCCAAAAGGAGUCUUGUGUGACUGUCCUGGCCUUAGAGCUGUGUUUUCUAUUCAAACUGAUGUUUCAUGUUAGCCCUGAGAUGAUGAAGCACUUUCCAGGCACCCUCACUGGCUGAGUGCCAUGUGACAGCUGAAGCAAAUGCUGCCUGAAGUGUUGGUGCUGGGCCUGAUAGUUCCCAAGAGACAGUCUCUAGAAUAGGACAAGCUGUCUGAACUGACUGCCACCCUUUCCUCAGCUUUGGAAUAUGGUAAAGCACUCAGACGUAUCCCUUGCCAAGCUUUACAAAAGAAACAGGCUGCAUUGCUGGGUGUUCCUCAACUUCACGGCCCACGGCGUGUUUUCUCUGCAUUUGUGUUUUCCCAGGGGUCUGCAGAUUUGGGGAUGAAUGGGUGGAAAGAGCCUCAUCCUGCUGCAGCUCUGGGUAGUGGGUGCCCUCUGAUGGGUCAGCACGAAUUGUCCUUAAUUUCUAAAUAAUUCAUAUGUAACCUAUUACUUUAAUCUUUCUCCGAGUAAACUUUGGGAAAGAAAUUGAGCAUCCAAUAGUGCAGGGAGACUGAAUGCUUCCCUUUUCCAUGCAGACAGCCCAUCUGUACAAUGCUAACUUUGUGUUUAUCUGAGGACAGAACCU